rnacentral:misc_RNA from 1 species
CCGCCAACCUCUUUUAUUUUUAAAGACCUUUUUCGGAAGGUAUGCUUAAAGAGGGGCUUGCGUCACAUUAGUUAGUUGGCAGGGUAAAGGCCUACCAAGACUAUGAUGUGUAGCUGGACUGAGAGGUUGAACAGCCACAUUGGGACUGAGACACGGCCCAAACUCCUACGGGAGGCAGCAGUAGGGAAUUUUCGGCAAUGGAGGAAACUCUGACCGAGCAACGCCGCGUGAACGAUGAAGUAUUUCGGUAUGUAAAGUUCUUUUAUUGAAGAAGAAAAAAUAGUGGAAAAACUAUCUUGACGAUAUUCAAUGAAUAAGCCCCGGCAAACUAUGUGCCAGCAGCCGCGGUAAUACAUAGGGGGCGAGCGUUAUCCGGAAUUAUUGGGCGUAAAGGGUGCGUAGGCGGUUUAAUAAGUCUAUAGUUUAAUUUCAGUGCUUAACACUGUCCUGCUAUAGAAACUAUUAGACUAGAGUGAGAUAGAGGCAAGUGGAAUUCCAUGUGUAGCGGUAAAAUGCGUAAAUAUAUGGAGGAACACCAGAGGCGUAGGCGGCUUGCUGGGUCUUUACUGACGCUGAGGCACGAAAGCGUGGGGAGCAAACAGGAUUAGAUACCCUGGUAGUCCACGCCGUAAACGAUGAGUACUAAGUGUCGGGAUUACUCGGUACUGAAGUUAACACAUUAAGUACUCCGCCUGAGUAGUACGUACGCAAGUAUGAAACUUAAAGGAAUUGACGGGACUCCGCACAAGCGGUGGAUCAUGUUGUUUAAUUCGAAGAUACACGAAAAACCUUACCAGGUCUUGACAUACUCUGCAAAGCUAUAGCAAUAUAGUGGAGGUUAUCAGGUAUACAGGUGGUGCAUGGUUGUCGUCAGCUCGUGACGUGAGAUGUUAGGUUAAGUCCUAAAACGAGCGCACCCCUUGUCAUUAGUUGCCAGCAUGUCAUGAUGUGCACUUUAAUGAGACUGCCAAUGAACAUUGGAGGAACGUGAGGAUCACGUCUAAUCAUCAUGCCCCUUAUGAUCUGGGCUACAAACGUGAUACCACGGCUGGUACGAACAGCACCUGAAACGCAGUUUAUGCCAAUCUCGUAAAGCCUUCCCGGUCGAAUGAAAUCUGCAACUCAACUCCUGAAGUUGAAUCCUUCGAAUCGGGAAUCUGAAUGUCCCGGUGAACC